rnacentral:rRNA from 1 species
AAGCGGUGGAGUAUGUGGUUAAUCGAUGCAACGCGAAGAACCUUACCUGGUCUUGACAUCCCGGAGACCCUUAGGAAACUAGGGGGUGCUUCCAUCUGGAAGAAUCUGGAGACAGGUGCUGCAUGGCUGUCGUCAGCUCGUGUCGUGAGAUGUUGGGUUAAGUCCCGCAACGAGCGCAACCCUUGCCUUUAGUUGCCAGCAGUUCGGCUGGGCACUCUAAAGGGACUGCCGGGUGUUAAACCGGAGGAAGGUGGGGAUGACGGUCAAGUCCUCAUGGCCUUUAUGACCAGGGCUACACACGUACUACAAUGGCCGAUACAAAGGGCAGCGACACUGCGAGGUGAAGCCGAAUCCCGUAAAAUCGGUACUCAGUCCGGAUUGGAGUCUGCAACUCGACUCCAUGAAGUUGGAAUCGCUAGUAAUCGUGGAUCAGCAUGCCACGGUGAAUACGUUCCCGGGCCUU